AGCACGUUGCUGUCUAGAGAUAGUCCCAUUAUGCCCUUUGAUUUAAGAAUUGCUGCUACCAUUAGCUACAAGGGAACACUCCCACUUGCUUAUGGAGGAAAUUCUUUCCUUGCUAAGGUUUUGCCAUGGCUCCAUUACUUACUCUCAGCUUCUCAUGAAACACAGCUGUAAUUUGCAGUUGACAAUGAUACUGAUUGCAAAAGAAAGCUGAUGAAAUGUGCACAGGGAUAUGGUUCCCCAUAUAUAGAUGAACAAGUGAACCAACUUCAGCAAUCAGUAACACCUUGUUUGUAGUCUACCUAAAUAUUAGCUGGAAAGAUGCCCCUCUCCCAUUAAUUCUCACUUAUAUCUCAGUGAAUCAAAUAAUCCAACCCAGUGUACAGAGUUAUGAACAACUGGAAAACAUUCACAUUGCACCUUAAGCCCACAGAGCUUUGGGCCCAACAGUAGAUGGAUUAUAAACUGCAGCCUGUGCUCAAAACAGCUUGGUGCACAUAAGCUAAGGUUGCUCACACGGGCAAAAGCUCUCAAGACUUCUUUCUCACAUCUAGCCUUGAUUCUCCCUCCCCACAAGCAAGCCCAAAAAUCCCACAAAGAGAACUAAGGAAUAUUAUGUGCACCCCAAUUUACUUGUUUGAUAUCAUCCUGCCCGACUGCAUGUGGUUAAAGCAAAGAUGGCUGUUAGAGGGAAACAAAUAAAUAGUGAUAAAGGAAUCCGAAGAAUACUGCUCCUCUUCCAGGACUCUGCAUGGCAGCUGCAGUGGUAGUUCCAGUGUCGACCGCUCCUGGGCUUUGCUGAUGGAGGCUUUCUCAUCAAAGGCUUAAAGCUGACUACAACAUUCUGACCAAAUAACAUAC